rnacentral:rRNA from 1 species
GACGUAGGGCGCGAGCGUUGUCCGGAUUUAUUGGGCGUAAAGAGCUCGUAGGCGGCUUGUUGCGUCGACUGUGAAAACCCGCGGCUUAACCGCGGGCUUGCAGUUGAUACGGGCAGGCUAGAGUUCGGUAGGGGAGACUGGAAUUUCUGGUGUAGCGGUGAAAUGCGCAGAUAUCAGGAGGAACACCGGUGGCGAAGGCGGGUCUCUGGGCCGAUACUGACGCUGAGGAGCGAAAGCGUGGGGAGCGAACAGG